UGUGGCAGCAGGUGAGCACAGGCUUCGUGAGCUUCCUCGUCAGUAAGAUGGGAGAAUGUCACUCACAUAGCCAGGGACAGCAGGAGGGUUUCCUGAAGCCGCACCUGCC